CACGAAGAAGAAGAAAGCGAGGAGAGAAUACCAGACAGUGGAAGCCAGAGAGAGAAAGCAAAAGCAACCUCUAGAGAGAGAGAGAGAGAGAGAGAUUCGGAUUUUCAAGCUUCGUUCUGGUCGGUAUCUCUGGGCCAGAGCAUCUGCUGCAUUUUCUGAGGUUUCGAGCGAGCCGAGUCAUGGCCGAGUCGAGCGACUCAGUGUCCGUCGACGUCGACGCC
rnacentral:lncRNA from 1 species